rfam:Trichomonas vaginalis G3, whole genome shotgun sequence.
GUAGUCUGCCAUACGCAGGAAGACCCGCUGAACUGAAGCAUCUCAUUAAGCGGAGGAAAAGAAACUAACUAGGAUUCCCUUAGUAAAGGCGAUCGAAAAGGGAACAGCCCAACGUCUUAAUCCCGCAAGGGAAAUGUAGUCGGUUCACCUAUUGCACUGGUCUAAGUCAGAUGGAAUGCUGCGCGAUUCAGAGUAAAAGCCUCGUAUGACCAACCGCAAGCUUACGAUGGACCGGGGAGAGUCGGAUACUUUGAGAGUAGUGUCUUAAGGGGGUGGUAUGUCCCAUCCAAGGCUAAAUAACGUGAGGAGACCGAUAGAUUACAAGUAGUGUGAACGAAAGAUGAAAAGAACUCUAAAACAGAGGGUGAAAAGUUCCUGAACUUGCUUAGGGUUAAGGCUAUUUAUAGUACCCGUCUUGAAACACGGAUUAGGGAGUUUAUCUGUAGUGCGAGUCUUUGCACGUUAACUGUAAAGGCGUAGAGAAAGCAACUGGCGUUUGCAUGGCUACUGAGCAUUACUGAUAGGACCCGAAAGGUGGUGAACUUUGCCUGCACAGGUUGAAGUCAGGGGAAACUCUGAUGGAGGACCGUACGGGUUAUUGAUGUGCAAAUCAUUUUUCUGAUGUAGGUAAAGGUGCGAAAGACUCAUCGAACCACCUAAUAGCUGGUUUCCUCCGAAGUUUCCCUCAUGAUAGCUGUAAUGCAUUUAGUUAUGGGAGUAGAGAUAUGGGUAGAGGUGCAGGAGCCUUAUGUUCUCAACUUAUUUCCAACUUCAACCUCCUUGUUAGGCAUUUACCUAACUGGAAUGCUUAAUGAAUUAGCGU